UACGUAGGCAGCAAGCGUUGUUCGGAGUUACUGGGCGUAAAGGGUGUGUAGGCGGUUCUUUAAGUUUGGUGUGAAAUCUCCCGGCUCAACCGGGAGGGUGCGCCGUAUACUGAGGGACUCGAGUGCGGGAGAGGAAAGUGGAAUUCCUGGUGUAGCGGUGAAAUGCGUAGAUAUCAGGAGGAACACCGGUGGUGUAGACGGCUUUCUGGACCGUAACUGACGCUGAGACACGAAAGCGUGGGUAGCAAACAGG
rnacentral:rRNA from 1 species